rnacentral:pre_miRNA from 1 species
UCUGGCAGAUCAGCUUUUUGUUUGUGUUAUGUUCCUACUACAAUGUAAGACGAACAAAAAGUUUUUCCGUUGGAUG